rnacentral:misc_RNA from 1 species
AAAACCAAUAAAAUCAAGUCAAGAGCAAAAGGAAAAGCUGAGGAAAAGCUUCGAUAAUAAACAUAUUUUGGGCUACCUGUGUUAACUCUCAUGUUUGCGUUACCAGAUAUAAUCUACAUAAAGUGAUCAAACAUUAAAGGUCAUCUACAGCCAAGUAAUGAUCAGCAUAUAUAACUUCUAUCUCAGAACGUAAACAUUAUCGCUCGCUUUUUUACAGGGCAUUUUAUCGUUUUCCAGAGAGCUUACAACGAGCUUACAAGAUGGGAGCUUUUCAAUUACCAAUCAUGUACACUUAUAUUUCCUUUGUUUUCAGUGUACUUAUUUUACUUCCGCCUGAAGCACAUGGCGCCAUAAACUCUAUCAUACGAAAUGUUGGUCAAGAUUUUGUCUUUAUGUGGAACAGAACAAGUGGUAAUAUAGUGGAAGUGAGAUGGGGAUUGGUGGAUCCAGUAGAUAACCAAGGGAUAAAACCACAGUUCAUAUAUGUCAACAAAUGGGCCAACGUUGCUGUCUAUAGCGCUGCCUUGGAUACCCCAGCUGCAUCGAGUUAUAAAGGAAGAGUUUAUUACGUGGGAGACUUGCCUGCUGGUCGUGCUUGGUUCCAAAUAACCAACCUUAGUAUCAGUGAUGCCAAGGAAUAUGCUGUUAGCAUCUUGGAAGGAAGUGUUUACACGAUAUACAAAAUGGGCCUGACUGUGACAGUAACUCCCCAGUUCCAGCCACAGCCACCACUGACACAGAACAUAGCAGAAGGUCAAGAUUUGAGUGUGCCUUGCACUGCUGUUGGUCCACCAAUACCUAACAUUACGUGGGUGCAGAUAGUAGGUCACGUGACCAAGAUUACAGGAACAGGAAGUGCAACACUGAGGAUACCAAAUAUAAGAAGAGAUCAGAAUGGGACGUACGAGUGUCAGGCCAGUAACAACCCUAAUGAGAAUCCAGUCACUGCACAGACUGUUGUGUCUGUUUAUUAUCCUCCCCGAACCACCAUUACUCCUCCAAUUAUCACAGUUGUAGAAGGUGAUGAGAUCGUACUCAGCUGUACAGCAGAUGGUUAUCCACCACCAUCCAUAUCAUGGAAGAAGGCUGACGGUGUCAUCAAAGCUGGUCACACAGUAGGUGGGGGAACACUUAGAAUACCUGAUGCUAUCAAAACAGAUGCUGGGCAGUACAUAUGUACAGCAAAGAACGCCUACGACAGCAGAGAACACACUAACAAUGCAAAUGCAACUGUUAUAGUUAAAUACCAGCCCUUGAUCAUGUUGGAAAAGUUACUUAACCAAACCGUGAAUGAGAGCGACUCCCUGAGUAUCAAGUGCGAAGCAGAUGGAAACCCACUACCAACCAUCAAAUGGAAGACCCCAACAGGAUCUGUCCACACUGGGAAUGUCUACAGCAUCCCGUCAGUCAGCAAAUCACAUGCAGGGACAUACACGUGUACAGCUAGUAACGGGAUAGGGAGAGAUGCAAUGACCAGUAUACAAGUUACUGUGCAGUAUCCACCUGAUAUUGAUGCAUCAAAGUCUAGUCUUCUAUUCAAGGCAUGGAAUGGUAAAAGUAUUCGACUCAGAUGUUUAGCAACUGGUUUACCUGCACCAUGGAUAUCAUGGUACAAACCAACAAAUCAACAGAUCACUACAGGUGUCAACAUUGUACCCGGGGGUAGUGAGGUAACAGUACUGACAACUGCUGACCAAGGGGACUAUGGACAGUACAAGUGUCGAGCAACAAACAUCCUUGGAAGUGAUGAACAAUUCAUCAAUGUCAUUCAGCUGUUUCCCCCAGGUCUUGUUACCAUAAAUGUUAUCGAGGUAGAAGCAUUAUCCAUGAAAAUUACAUGGAACAAACCUGGUAAUGAUGGUGGAAGACCUGUCAUUGGUUACAAGGUUGAAGUAAGUACCAAGCCACCAGUUUUCACUGUGAAUACCCAAGCUGUUAUAACAGGACUCAAAGCAAACACCCAGUACACGGUCAAAGUGUAUGCUCGGAACAUUGCUGGGUAUGGUCAACAACUGAUGAAGGUCAUCACUACCAAGAAACAAGGUAAACCAGGUGUUCCUCAAUUAACAAUUAGCAUCAACGAUACAGCAGAAUUAUUUAUCAGAUUGACAUGGACAAAACCUAAUGAUAAUGGAGGAGAUCUAAUCAAGUUUACCAUCUACAUGAAAGAGGAUGAUGAAUUUAAUUGUACAAAAGCAAAGGAUAUCCUUGAUUUAUCAGUUCUGGAGUAUACAUUAAGAAAAAGUGUUGAUUACGGAAAGAACUAUACGUUUCUAGUGACUGCAUGGAAUAAAUACGGAGAAAGUAUGAAAGAUGAUGUGAUGGCGAAGACAAUAUCCAUACCUCAGAUUAAACCAACAUGUGAAACGAACACACGUGGUAACGCUAAGACCAGUAUUGAGGACACAAGUGGAAAACACUCAAAAUAACACGGAAGAAACAGCUUUAAGGAAACGAAAACAAAUAAGCAAGAAGAGGUUGAUCAAACAUACGACAACGCAAUGGAAUUGAGCGUGAACACGUCAUCAUCGUCUGGCAUGAAAUCGGGAUUUAGUCCAA